CACGUAGGGCGCGAGCGUUGUCUGGAAUUAUUGGGCGUAAAGAGCUCGUAGGCGGCCUGUUGCGUCCGCUGUGAAAGCCCGGGGCUUAACCCCGGGUCUGCAGUGGAUACGGGCAGGCUAGAGGUAGGUAGGGGAGAAUGGAAUUCCCGGUGUAGCGGUGAAAUGCGCAGAUAUCGGGAGGAACACCGGUGGCGAAGGCGGUUCUCUGGGCCUUACCUGACGCUGAGGAGCGAAAGCGUGGGGAGCGAACAGG
rnacentral:rRNA from 1 species